rnacentral:rRNA from 1 species
GAUGAACGCUAGCUACAGGCUUAACACAUGCAAGUCGAGGGACCGGCGCACGGGUGAGUAACCCGUAUCCAACCUGCCCUUUACUCGGGGAUAGCCUUUCGAAAGAAAGAUUAAUACCCGAUAUAAAGGAUGGGGAUGCGUUCCAUUAGGUUGUUGGUGAGGUAACGGCUCACCAAGCCUGCGAUGGAUAGGGGUUCGGAGAGGAAGGUCCACAGGAAUGGAGCUAAGGCACGGACCAAACUCCUAGGGGAGGCAGGAGUGAGGAAUAUUGGGCAAUGGGCGCUAGCCUGAACAAGCCAAGUAGCGUGAAGGAUGAAGGCUUAGGAGUGGUAAACUUCUUUUAAAUAAGAAUAUGUAUUAUAUGAAUAAGGAUCGGCUAACUCCGUGCCAGCAGCCGCGGUAAUAC